UAAGACGCUCUUUGCCAAGGUGAGCCAAAUCCAGAGCAUGUUCUCUCUGCUACUGUUGAAAUCAGGGACAUUGACUCUCCAUGGUUUGCAGAUAACACAGUUAUUUCGCUUUGAAAAACUUCUAGCAAGUCAAUUCUGCCAAGUCUGUGGAAGAUGAAUCCAAGAGAAUUUCAUGGCUGAAAUGGAGCUAUAGCCUGAAAGCUGGGCCUGUGAGAGUCCGGACAGGAAACAUGGUGUAUAAUAUGUUUGCUGACGUCAAAAGAAAACAGGCACAAACAAUAAUUGGUCAUGGAUAUGGAUAGAAUAUUAUCAUGUCUGAUGAUGAAACCAAGGCUUUGAGAGCUCAACAUAAUAGAGCUAAUAGGUGGAGCUAGGUUUGAAGUCUGACUGUCAAGUGUCAAAGUUCAUCAGUGCUUCACCAGUGGAGAUUGCAGCCACUCCUCCGGAGCCCUCACGCCCUGUUAAGAUAGCAGAGCCCAACAGGAAGCAGAAAGACUCCACCUUGAGAAGGUCAGCCUUUUAAAGAAGCCAACGUUGUACAAAGAGCGGAGAUGGAAAACCUGGGUCUUUGAGAAAACUACCAAAAGGGAUUAAAGAGAACUCUAAAGAAUACCCCAAGGCUGAAGAAGUAUCCAAGGAAGGAGGCUCUCCCCAGGGCUGGGACUCAGCCCUCUUUCAAGUGGUUGCUGCCCACUGGAUGGUGGAGAAGUUUACAGCGC